rfam:Salmo salar isolate Sally breed double haploid chromosome ssa28, whole genome shotgun sequence.
UGCAUUCACUAUUGUAAGUUGCUCUGGAUACGAGCAUCUGCUAAAUAACUCAAA